UAGUCAUACGCUCGUCUCAAAGACUAAGCCAUGCAAGUCUAAGUAUAAAUCUUUUACUUUGAAACUGCGAAUGGCUCAUUAUAUCAGUUAUAGUUUAUUUGCUAGUCCCUUACUACUUGGAUAACCGUAGUAAUUCUAGAGCUAAUACAUGCGUCAAUACCCUUCUGGGGUAGCAUUUAUUAGAUUGAAACCAACCCCUUCGGGGUGAUGUGGUGAAUCAUAAUAAUUUUGUGGAUCGCCAGUGGCGAUGGAUCAUUCAAGUUUCUGCCCUAUCAGCUUUGGACGGUAAGGUAUUGGCUUACCGUGGCUUUAACGGGUAACGGGGAAUUAGGGUUUGAUUCCGGAGAGGGAGCCUGAGAGACGGCUACCACGUCCAAGGAAGGCAGCAGGCGCGUAAAUUACCCAAUCUUGACACAAGGAGGUAGUGACAAUAAAUAACAAUGCCGGGCCUUUUAGGUCUGGCAAUUGGAAUGAGAACAAUUUAAACCCAUUAACGAGGAUCAAUA
rnacentral:rRNA from 1 species